UGCCCAGCAACUCCUAUCCCUACCUCCACGCGGUACCGGCCGGAAACUAUGAGCAACCUUAGAGAAGAUCGGGUAACCAGCCCCAGUGGGAACUUUGAUCGUAGGCUGGCAGGGAAGG
rnacentral:ribozyme from 1 species